AUGACCGAUCUCUUUUGGUGUUUAGAGGCUCAAGAUUAUAUCUAGCACCAUUUGAAAUCGGUUAU